GGAAGAACUUGGUGUGAAGGUGAAAGCUUGAUUGUUCUCCCUUUCAUUGAAUCCAACAUAGGAAAAACGAUGCUCAAGGAUCGGUUGACUACUCACAGGUCCAAAGAGCAACACCAAAGAAGUCACAACAACCACAAAGAAGAACAAACCAGAAGAAGAUACAGAUGAAUUCCAAGCUUUGUAGAUCGGCAACGGGAUUAUUGAAUCCGGAUUCAGCUUGUUCCUUUCUCCACUAAUCAAAGAAAAAAGCUAAAGGUAAACCCCAUUUGGUUUAAAGUUUAGAGCCUUUCUUUUCCACGAUUAACGCCUUGAUAUGAACAGAAACCGAGUUUUGUAUUCUUGGAUGCAUUAGUUUAAUAUUGCAAGAAACCGAGUUUUGGAAAAGUAUGGUCUAGAGAAAUGGUCGAAGGUCAAAACUCAAAAGGGGUUAGAGAGGAGGAAGAAGAAGAAGAAGGGUCAAAAAUUUCAUGCUGAAAAUGUUGGAAAAGCCAUUGAUAAGAUAUGUAAUGUAAGUUGACAAAAAAAAAAAAAAAAGAAGCAGUUUCGUAGAGAAAACAGUGCAAAUAUCGUCCAUGCUUGGGUAAUAAAAAAACACUUUUUUAGAUUUAGAUUGUUGAUGAUGAGUUUAGAGAUCUGAAGGAAAUGGAGUAUGGAAUCUUUUCCUUUUUUUCUUAA